rnacentral:rRNA from 1 species
AGUCAAGUAAUUAAGUGCAUGUGGUGGAUGCCUUGGCAGUCAGAGGCGAUGAAAGACGUAAUAGCCUGCGAUAAGCUCCGGGGAGGCGGCAAA